rnacentral:rRNA from 1 species
AGAAUCAACGCUGGCGGCGUGCCUAACACAUGCAAGUCGAACGAGAAAGUGGAGCAAUCCAUGAGUAAAGUGGCGACCGGGUGAGUAACACGUGACUACCUACCCUUGAGUGGGGGAUAACCUCGGGAAACCGAGGCUAAUACCGCAUAAUAUCGAAAGAUCAAAGGAGUAAUCCGCUUUUGGAGGGGGUCGCGGCUGAUUAGCUAGUUGGUAGGGUAAUGGCCUACCAAGGCGAAGAUCGGUA